UCUUAUCUGGUACACAGCACAGAAUGUAGUUUCAGAAGUGGGACGCCCAAUGUGCGAAAUCUCAGUUUUACGCUGAGCAUAGGUACGUAAGUGCAAUGUGACAAAGAAGGAACGUUCUCCAAUCUGCCGUUUAGUCACCAAGUAGAAAAACUAUGAACUACCAUACGAGAUACGCAACGCUUCUUCCUUAUAUUUGAAUUUUUUUUCUUAAGUACUUAGAAUCGCGACUCUUUAGCUGUUUUAAACAAAACAUCAGUUUCUUUGAAGCCGUCUGUCAGGAGUUCGAUUAACUCUCUUCGCUGGAAGCCAACAUGUAGAAAAUUGCCUAACGUCAGUGGCCCUUGUCCCCGCGUUGGAGACGAUGCAGAUUUUCAGCAAGUGAAGACAUUCAAAAGAGACAGUUUGAUCGGGCCUUGUUACGAAUUUUCAUGAAAAAGAACCGAAAACGCGGCUUGGCCCCGGGUACCGCCGGCUUUUCUAAACUCUACAGCGGCAAAGAACCAAGGUGGGGGCAGAACGAGGGACCGAGACGAGGCAUAUUAAAACGGUGUGGGGGCGAGCGAAACGCGAGACCAAAGCAGUUUUACAACACCGGCAGACGCUGCGAUAUUGCUCCGUCGUGCUUUCUGCUUUCUGGGAAAGGUCCGAAGCUCUCUCUCUCUCUCUCUCCCCACUCUCUCAUUUUCUCUUUCCCCUACCCUCCAUUCUCUCCCCGCUACACCCCGUCUCUCUUUCACCUACACGUCUGCACAACUUUGAACACGACCUACACGAACACUACCUCUUUCUACCAGUACUUCGUACACACUCUCAUAUCCAUACCUCUAUCUCUCUUUCCUUUCUUCCUCUCUUCCUCACUACCCCAUUCUCAUCAGUAGUAUUUCUCCCUCUUUCUUCCCCCCUAUUCCCCUGAUCUAUCAACACCACCUAUCCUUCUCUCUCGCAAGAUACUCACACAAAUUCCACGCUUUUAUAUCCGUGUCUCGCUCGAUCUUUCAGUUACCCCCAUCUAACCCUCACUCGCUUACACCCACGCCAGUCUUUACCAUCUGUCUCUUUCUAUAGCGAAGGCUGGUAGUAUCUAUCUCUAUCCACAUUUCGUUCUCUCUCUUCAAUCGCAUCUCCUGCUCUAUCUCCAUUUCUACCCAGCUUCGCCGGUACCGUUUUCUCAUAUUCUCUCUGCGCGCGCCACUAUGGCGCAUCACUAUAGGAAGAUAUAGUGCGGGCCCGACUACACUGCACGCAACUAUACAACGUAUAGUAGUACGGCGCAACGCGGCAACGAAAGACAAGGCCGUACCACUCGCGGCGAACGGAGGAUACGAAAACAGUUUCACACGACCGACGCCAAUGGUCUACGUACCACCAUUAUGAUAGCUCGACAGAGUAAAUAAUAUCGUGGGUAUUCAUUAAUCAAAAACAUAGCGAAGUAACGUAUACCGCUGCUUUCUACGUGUAUCAGCAUAAACGGGUGUUCACGGAAAUAUAUACUCAUUGUACCAUCGCGAAAUCGAUGUGUGCGUGAAGAGGGUUAGCAUCCUACACGAUUGAAGAACACGUCGUGCUACGGAGACACACGCUAUGUGUCGAUGUGUGCGUGCCUCUUACACAACGUAAACGCGCGGUAGUGUAGGUUGCUUUGGCAUAAUAAGAGAGAGGGAGCGGAAUAUAAUGCAACCUCCUGCGCUCAGUGGCCUCCCUGGAAGCUGUGGAAUGUACCACCCACCCUGCCCUCCCAUUCUAUACAACGGAGAGAAGAGUCGUGCGGCGUUGGUCGUUGUAAACACUUCGUCGGACUAUUAAUACUAAAAAUCUCGAAUCAGUACGAGACGUUACUCUGUGAUACUAACUAACUGGAGUUUUAUAGGUCGUUACACGGGGGUUGAAAUUAUUUUUAAUAGGCUAUUUUCGUCCCCUGAUUCACUCUCUCUAAUCUUCUAAUUAUAGGAAUUUUCUUCUUUUCUAUUCUUAGUCAGAUGCACAUUUGAAUAUUAAAGGUGUUACGGCCAAUAUCAAUGGACAAAAAUUAAUUUUACCAAUCGUGACACGCUAAUCAAUCAUGAUUACAUAUCGACACUUCGUCCAGACUCAAUUCCGUCAAUUACUCGAGCGAGCUAUUCGCCAACGGCAUCGAGAACUUCACAAUAACU